ensembl:misc_RNA Y_RNA Y RNA
GGCUGGUGUGAGUGCAGUGGUGUUUCCGACUGAUCACAACCAGUUACAGAUUACUUUGUCUCUUCUCCAUUCCCACUGCCUUACUUGAUUAGACUUAA